rnacentral:sRNA from 1 species
UACUCCGUUGAUGGGUAGCUUACCACAGC